AGAGUUUGAUCCUGGCUCAGGACGAACGCUGGCGGCGUGCUUAACACAUGCAAGUCGAACGAGGUCCAAGGGUUAGCAAUAACCUGGAAGAUCUAGUGGCGAACGGGUGAGUAACACGUGAGGAACCUACCCCGGACUCAGGGAUAACGGCUGGAAACGGCUGCUAAUACCUGAUGCCGUCGGAGCAUCACAUGGUGCACUGACGAAAGAAUCUCGGUUCGGGAGGGCCUCGCGGCCUAUCAGCUUGUUGGUGGGGUAAUGGCCUACCAAGGCAUCGACGGGUAGCUGGUCUGAGAGGAUGAUCAGCCACACUGGGACUGAGACACGGCCCAGACUCCUACGGGAGGCAGCAGUGGGGAAUCUUGCGCAAUGGGCGAAAGCCUGACGCAGCAACGCCGCGUGCGGGAAGAAGGCCUUAGGGUUGUAAACCGCUUUCAGUAGGAACGAAAAUGACGGUACCUGCAGAAGAAGGUGCGGCCAACUACGUGCCAGCAGCCGCGGUGACACGUAGGCACCAAGCGUUGUCCGGAUUUAUUGGGCGUAAAGAGCUCGUAGGCGGUUUAGUAAGUCGGGUGUGAAAACUCUGGGCUUAACCCAGAGCCGCACUCGAUACUGUAUGACUUGAGUUCGGUAGGGGAGCAGGGAAUUCCUAGUGUAGCGGUGAAAUGCGCAGAUUUAGGAGGAACACCGGUGGCGA
rnacentral:rRNA from 1 species